AGGCAAACUCCAGGAACUCCUUCCAUGGGACCUCGCCUGCAGUAUUUACAAACGAAGGAAGUACUUCUUCAAGAAAAAUCUCAAAAUUUGAGUCAGAAAAGACUGUCUGAUCCCGGAAACUAGAUGGCUGUGACCAAUGACAGAAGUGAUGGGAACUGAACCCUGGUCCUCCGUAGGAGCAGCAAGAGCCACUUUCUAGCUUCAUGACUGAGAUUUAGAGACAGCACCGCUAAAGUCUCAAAGACAAGGUCCAGGCUCGUUUCCUCUUCUCACCAUCUAAGAGUUCCACAACUGUUUCUACACACAUGUGUGUUCAUGUCAAAUCACUGAAGAAGUUGCCAUGGAGAAGGACCCUGAGGAUCGUGUUGGGCUUUCAGCACACAAGAGCACAAUUAAGGGAAAAAAAAAAGAUUCUGG
rnacentral:sRNA from 1 species